UACGUAGGGGGCAAGCGUUGUCCGGAAUCAUUGGGCGUAAAGAGCGCGUAGGCGGCCCGAUAAGUCCGCUGUGAAAGUCAAGGGCUUAACCCUUGAAUGCCGGUGGAAACUGUCGGGCUAGAGUCCGGAAGAGGCGAGUGGAAUUCCUGGUGUAGCGGUGAAAUGCGCAGAUAUCAGGAAGAACACCCGUGGCUAAGGCGGCUCUCUAGUACGUGACUGACGCUGAGACGCGAAAGCGUGGGGAGCGAACAGG
rnacentral:rRNA from 1 species